rnacentral:rRNA from 1 species
UGGGGAAUAUUGCACAAUGGGGGAAACCCUGAUGCAGCGACGCCGCGUGAGUGAAGAAGUAUUUCGGUAUGUAAAGCUCUAUCAGCAGGGAAGAAAAUGACGGUACCUGACUAAGAAGCCCCGGCUAACUACGUGCCAGCAGCCGCGGUAAUACGUAGGGGGCAAGCGUUAUCCGGAUUUACUGGGUGUAAAGGGAGCGUAGACGGCAGAGCAAGUCUGAAGUGAAAGCCCGCGGCCCAACUGCGGGACUGCUUUGGAAACUGCCCGGCUAGAGUGCUGGAGAGGUAAGCGGAAUUCCUAGUGUAGCGGUGAAAUGCGUAGAUAUUAGGAGGAACACCAGUGGCGAAGGCGGCUUACUGGACAGUAACUGACGUUGAGGCUCGAAAGCGUGGGGAGCAAACAGG